rnacentral:snRNA from 1 species
UCACUUACCUGGCAGGGGACAUACCGUGAUCACGAAGGUGGUUUUCCCUGGGCGAGGCUUAUUCAUUGCACUCUGGGUGUGCUGACCCCUGUGACUUCCCCAAAUGUGGGAAGCUCGACUGCAUAAUUUGGGGUAGUAGGGGACUGUGGUCGCCCUUUCCCCUG